CCCUACCCCUACCAACAUUUUAUUGUAACUAUACCUAACAUAGGAUAACUAGUUGGCCUCUUAAAACAGUCAAAGACCAGACCCCAAACCAAACCAAACUGCUAAACAACAAAGCAGACAUCAUUAAAAAGACCCCAUCCCCAGAUUGCAUCAUUUUCAAUUCUUAGAAAGGAGGAGCAUAGAGCUGGAGAACCUUCUGCCAGGACGGUCUGCUGCUAAUGUCAUCCCACCAAGCAC
rnacentral:lncRNA from 1 species